rnacentral:hammerhead_ribozyme from 1 species
GUCCAGCUGACGAGUCCCGAAUAGGACGAAACGCGCGUCAAACUGAAU